UACGUAGGGGGCGAGCGUUAUCCGGAUUUACUGGGUGUAAAGGGCGCGUAGGCGGGCAUGCAAGUCAGAUGUGAAAUCUAUGGGCUUAACCCAUAGCGUGCAUUUGAAACUGUGUGUCUUGAGUGAUGGAGAGGUAAGUGGAAUUCCUAGUGUAGCGGUGGAAUGCGUAGAUAUUAGGAGGAACACCAGUGGCGAAGGCGACUUACUGGACAUCUACUGACGCUGAGGCGCGAAAGCGUGGGGAGCAAACAGG
rnacentral:rRNA from 1 species